UGCUGCCUGACCCACUGAGUUACUCCAGCUUUUUGUGUAAACCUAUUAGCCAUACUAGCUGGUUUAACUUGAAGAACAGGGCCAACACUCCUUUCCGUAGCAACAAUGUAAUAAAAAUGAACUGCUGAUGCUGCUUUAUCCCA